GAUGAAGAACGUAGCGAAAUGCGAUAAGUAAUGUGAAUUGCAGAAUUCAGUGAAUCAUCGAAUGUUUGAACGCACAUUGCGCCCGCUGGUAUUCCGGCGGGCAUGCCUGUUCGAGCGUCAUUUCAACCCUCAAGCUCUCCGGAGUUUGGUGUUGGGGCGCCUGGGGCUUUUCGACCUCAGGGCCCUCAAGUCCAUCGGCGGGACCGCCAGGACACUGAGCGCAGUAGUAUUAUUUCGCUCGGUAGGAUCUUCCACGGCGGGUCGAUCUGGCCGCUAAACCCCCCAAUUCUCACCAAAGGUUGAACUCGGAUCAGGUAGGAAUACCCGCUGAACUUAAGCAUAUCAAUAAGCGGAGGA
rnacentral:misc_RNA from 1 species